AUCAUGUUAUUUUUAUGUAUUUUAUUAUUUUUCAUGUUAAAAUCAGCUAAACAUAUGCUAUAUCAACACUACAACAGAAUUAGGUUAUAGGAACACAUGUUUGGAACACUUUUGAGUAAGUGUCUCAUUUAUGCUAAAACUUAAAAACACAUCUACUAAUGCCUAAAUAUAAAGCCCAUUUCAACCAAAAAUAAAAGAUUACUCUACUCAACCCACCAUACCCAAUCCAUUUGGCCCGAUUACAAACAGAAAAGAAAAAAAAAAAGAAAAAUCAAUUACCAUCUUUUCUUCUCUCUUCACUCAAUCCAUUGAAAUUCUAGACGAAGAGCCUUUACUGUUGUCCUCCUCCGCCACCGCAGCCAACGAGAUAGAGUUUCGGCGGUUGCUAAAUGCUUAAAUAAGUGUUGAUAAAUUAGCAGCACCUUUUUAGGUUAUAGCGACACUCUUUAACUGUCACUAUAUACCUAGCGACCCCACAUAUAGCAGCACUUUUUAAAAGUGUCGGUAAUUUUAGAUAGCAGCACUUUUUUGACAUAUACCUAUAUUUAAAAGUGUCGCUAUAGACCGUUUUUAUUGUAGUGCAAUUUUAGCAAGUAUUUAGACUAUAAUUUAAAAAUGUAGAGAUCGAAAAGAUAUUUGAGUAGUGCAUGCGUUUGAAAAAAAAAAAAAUAGCAUAGUAUAAAAAGUAGGAAAAAAAAAUCUGUAGUGUAGUGUAGUUAUU
rnacentral:lncRNA from 1 species